rnacentral:rRNA from 1 species
UACGAAGGGUGCUAGCGUUGUUCGGAAUUACUGGGCGUAAAGCGCGCGUAGGCGGCUUUUCAAGUCAGGGGUGAAAUCCCACGGCUCAACCGUGGAAUUGCCUUUGAAACUGUAAAGCUUGAGUGUCGGAGGGGAUAGCGGAAUUGCUAAUGUAGAGGUGAAAUUCGUAGAUAUUAGCAGGAACACCGGUGGCGAAGGCGGCUAUCUGGACGACAACUGACGCUGAGGCGCGAAAGCGUGGGGAUCAAACAGG